ACAAGUACCGUGAGGGAAAGUUGCAAAGCACUUUGAAGAGAGAGUUAAAGAGGACGUGAAACCGGUGAGGUGGAAACGGACAGAGCUGGCGUAUCUGGCCUGCAUUCAGCCUUGGAGCAUCUGGCGUUGUGGUGUUGCUCUCCAGAUUGGGACAGCAUUGCUUCUGCUGGGUGAACCGUGGUGCAUUUGCAGGUGGAGUGCGCCGAGGCGCCUGAGUCAGCGGCAUGAGCUUGGUUCUGAGGCCAGCCUUGCAAAAGGUCUGGUACCCGUGCUGGGGGAGUGCUGUUUGACUUGGGUGGUGGUAUGGGGCAAUGGUUUCGGGCUCGUGUGGGUGCCGAGCUGGCAGUCGGUGGCGGUCGCAUGCGACACGUGCCAGCGGUCAGUUCGGUCCUGCUCGAGCUCUCACAGCCCGUCCUCGGUGUAAAAGGCAGUCAUCUGUCCGACCCGUCUUGAAACACGGACCAAGGAGUUUAGCGUGUGCGCGAGUCAUUGGGUGUUGAAAACCCAAAGGCGCAAUGAAAGUGAAGGUGUCCCUUGUGGAACUGAUGUGUGAUCCUGGUCACCUCGGUGCAUCCGGGCGCAACAUAGUCCCGUCCUGACCGCUUGCGGUGGGGCGGAGACAGAGCGUACGCGCUGAGACCCGAAAGAUGGUGAACUAUUCCUGAGCAGGAUGAAGCCAGAGGAAACUCUGGUGGAAGUCCGAAGCGAUUCUGACGUGCAAAUCGAUCGUCUGACUUGGGUAUAGGGGCGAAAGACUAAUCGAACCAUCUAGUAGUAGCUGGUUCCUUCCGA
rnacentral:rRNA from 1 species